GACGAACGCUGGCGGCGUGCUUCAUACAUGCAAGUCGAACGAGAAUCUGGCUUCGGCCAGAGGACAGUGGCGGACGGGUGAGUAAAAUGUAGGAAAUCUGCCCUUAAGAGGGGGACAACAGAGGGAAACUUCUGCUAAUACCCCAUAUGAGCGUACCUGAGAUGGUAUUCUUGAGAACUCCGGUGCUUAAGGAUGAGCCUGCAUCUGAUUAGCUAGUUGGCGGUGUAAUGGACCACCAAGGCGACGAUCAGUAGCUGGUUUGAGAGGAUGAUCAGCCACAAUGGGACUGAGACACGGCCCAU
rnacentral:rRNA from 1 species